UGGGUGUACUUUGUGCCAGUGACAUU
rnacentral:piRNA from 1 species